rnacentral:rRNA from 1 species
AUUGAACGCUGGCGGAAUGCUUUACACAUGCAAGUCGAACGGCAGCACGGGGCAACCUGGUGGCGAGUGGCGAACGGGUGAGUAACAUAUCGGAACGUACCCAGUCGUGGGGGAUAACUAUCCGAAAGGAUAGCUAAUACCGCAUACGACCUGAGGGUGAAAGCGGGGGACCGAAAGGCCUCGCGCGAUUGGAGCGGCCGAUAUCGGAUUAGCUAGUUGGUGAGGUAAAGGCUCACCAAGGCGACGAUCCGUAGCUGGUCUGAGAGGACGACCAGCCACACUGGAACUGAGACACGGUCCAGACUCCUACGGGAGGCAGCAGUGGGGAAUUUUGGACAAUGGGGGCAACCCUGAUCCAGCCAUUCCGCGUGAGUGAAGAAGGCCUUCGGGUUGUAAAGCUCUUUCGGUCAGGAACGAAACGGUGGUCCCUAAUACGGGCUACUAAUGACGGUACCUGAAGAAGAAGCACCGGCUAACUACGUG